AUUGAACGCUGGCGGCAUGCCUUACACAUGCAAGUCGAACGGUAACAGGUCUUCGGAUGCUGACGAGUGGCGAACGGGUGAGUAAUACAUCGGAACGUGCCUAGUAGUGGGGGAUAACUACUCGAAAGAGUGGCUAAUACCGCAUGAGAUCUACGGAUGAAAGCAGGGGAUCGCAAGACCUUGUGCUACUAGAGCGGCCGAUGGCAGAUUAGGUAGUUGGUGGGAUAAAAGCUUACCAAGCCGACGAUCUGUAGCUGGUCUGAGAGGACGAUCAGCCACACUGGGACUGAGACAAGGCCCAGACUCCUACGGGAGGCAGCAGUGGGGAAUUUUGGACAAUGGGCGAAAGCCUGAUCCAGCAAUGCCGCGUGCAGGAUGAGGGCCUUCGGGUUGUAAACUGCUUUUGUACGGAACGAAAAGCUCUGGGUUAAUACCCUGGGGUCAUGACGGUACCGUAAGAAUAAGCACCGGCUAACUACGUGCCAGCCGCCGCAGUAACAC
rnacentral:rRNA from 1 species